rnacentral:rRNA from 1 species
GACGUAGGAGGCGAGCGUUGUCCGGAUUUACUGGGCGUAAAGCGCGCGCAGGCGGUGGCGCAGGUCAUCUGUGAAAGCCCCCGGCUCAACCGGGCGGAUGCGGGUGAAACCGCGCGACUUGAGGGUGGGAGAGGUCGGCGGAAUUCCCGGUGUAGUGGUGAAAUUCGUAGAUAUUCGGAGGAACACCAGUGGCGAAGGCGGCUCACUGGCCCGGUACUGACGCUCAGGUGCGAAAGCGUGGGGAGCGAACAGG